GUAUUGUAUGAAAGGAGAGACUGGUUAGCACUCCCCUUGACAAGGAUGGAAGAGGCCCUUGGGCCUGACAACAAACAUGUAGUUAAGGCAUUGCCACCUAUUUUGUGGCAUCUGAAGCAUCAUUUUUA
ensembl:snRNA